rnacentral:rRNA from 1 species
GUAUGGCUCAGGAUGAACGCUGGCGGCGUGCUUAACACAUGCAAGUCGAGCGAAGCGCUUAAGUUUGAUUCUUCGGAUGAAUUCUUUUGUGACUGAGCGGCGGACGGGUGAGUAACGCGUGGGUAACCUGCCUCAUACAGGGGGAUAACAGUUAGAAAUGACUGCUAAUACCGCAUAAGACCACGGUACUGCAUGGUACAGUAGGUAAAACUCCGGUGGUAUGAGAUCGGACCCGCGU